rnacentral:rRNA from 1 species
UACAGAGGUGGCAAGCGUUGUUCGGAAUUACUGGGCGUAAAGGGCGCGUAGGCGGUCUUGCAAGUCCUGUGUGAAAUCCCUCGGCUCAACUGAGGAACUGCACAGGAAACUGCUUGGCUUGAGUUCGGGAGAGGGAAGCGGAAUUCCGGGUGUAGCGGUGAAAUGCGUAGAUAUCGGGAGGAACAUCAGUGGCGAAGGCGGCUACCUGGCCCAAUACUGACACUCAGGUGCGACAGCGUGGGGAGCAAACAGG